GGGCCUGAUGGUUCUUCCUCUUCACCUACCCCGUCUUGGAAUGGAAGGAGCGGGCAUCUCACGUGACCGACUUGGCAGGUCACAUGACCAGGAACUAGCUUUAACCUGGCGUCAGGAAAGAAUCUAGUGGGAAUGAGCGCCGGCUGAGUUGAGUAUUGGACUGUUCGGUUAGGUCGAGAAGCUCGGGAUCGUCUAAUUCCUCACCCCCUACACGCAUCCCUUAGUCUCCGGUGGUCUUCUGUGAUGGGGGAAACGGGGUACCUGGGACAGAACGGAUCAUUCAGGUUCCAGCCGGAAGACACCCAGCCCCUCACACUGAUACUUCCUCCCAAUUGUUACUUUCCUCUCCUUGAUCUGUACUCACCAUGUCUGGCUGGAGGCGACCCAGAUGCCAUGUGAUGGUCAUUUGAAGACAGGACUUGUGAAUGUCAGGUAGCGAGCCCAUCACCGUCUCCAUAGUAACAUCUUCCUUGUUGGUGGGUGGGGGCAUCCUCAUUGUGCAUGGAGCAUUAGGUACCCAACCGAACCAGUCCAGCUGGGGAAGGAAAGUGACUCAGAACCAGGUAGUAGGAUCUGAAUCCCCACCUCUGCCUUGGCUAUCCCAAGGUCCAAACACUUGCUUCCUGGGCCCUGGGCCCUCUUCUCUCUGUACCUGGCCCUGGUUGAUGGCGGCAUGCUGGGAAGUGCAUGUGAAGAUACACAUGUGUGAUGGUAUUUGAACACAGGAGUCACUGGAAGUUUAUAAGGUCAUGAGGUUGGAGCUCUCAUGAGAGAUGGCGGUGUCCUUAUGAGACAGGACGGACAUCUAGUUCUCUCUCUGCCAUGGAAGUCACUUGGGUCAACCGGAAGAGUGCCCACCAGAACCAAACAUACAGGCACUCUGCCUCAGACCUUCAGCCUCCAGAAUGGUGAGAAAUAAACAUCUGAUAUUUAAGCUACA